GAGAAUGUUUUCUGCAGAAACAGCCUGGGGUUUCAGGAAGGCAGGCCCAGUUCAGGGGUGCCUUGGGAAGCAAAGGUCCUGUCAUUCCAACACUAAGAAUUAGACCUUUACAAGAAGCACAGUUUUGUCUUCAGUUUCCUCUCCCCCCACCUGGAAUGGCCUGAGCCGAAGCCAGCUCCCUCCGAGAAGUCAUUACCGCCUGACUUGCGUUUGAUAUUUAGACACCUUGGUCACAACAUCUUGCGUUCUCUCAGGAUGCUCAGGCAGGGGAUCCCUGCUCUUCUGUAUUA
rnacentral:antisense_RNA from 1 species